rnacentral:rRNA from 1 species
CCUACGGGAGGCAGCAGUGGGGAAUAUUGGGCAAUGGGCGCAAGCCUGACCCAGCAACGCCGCGUGAAGGAAGAAGGCUUUCGGGUUGUAAACUUCUUUUAAGGGGGAAGAGCAGAAGACGGUACCCCUUGAAUAAGCCACGGCUAACUACGUGCCAGCAGCCGCGGUAAUACGUAGGUGGCAAGCGUUGUCCGGAUUUACUGGGUGUAAAGGGCGUGCAGCCGGAGAGAAAAGUCAGAUGUGAAAUCCACGGGCUCAACCCGUGAACUGCAUUUGAAACUGUUUCCCUUGAGUGUCGGAGAGGUAAUCGGAAUUCCUAGUGUAGCGGUGAAAUGCGUAGAUAUAAGGAAGAACACCAGUGGCGAAGGCGGAUUACUGGACGAUAACUGACGGUGAGGCGCGAAAGCGUGGGGAGCAAACAGGAUUAGAUACCCUUGUAGUC